GAUGAACGCUGGCGGCGUGCCUAAUACAUGCAAGUCGAGCGAACAGACGAGGAGCUUGCUCCUCUGACGUUAGCGGCGGACGGGUGAGUAGCACGUGGAUAACCUACCUAUAAGACUGGGAUAACUUCGGGAAACCGGAGCUAAUACCGGAUAAUAUAUUGAACCGCAUGGUUCAAUAGUGGAAGACGGUUUUGCUGUCACUUAUAGAUGGAUCCGCGCCGCAUUAGCUAGUUGGUAAGGUAACGGCUUACCAAGGCAACGAUGCGUAGCCGACCUGAGAGGGUGAUCGGCCACACUGGAACUGAGACACGGUCCAGACUCCUACGGGAGGCAGCAGUAGGGAAUCUUCCGCAAUGGGCGAAAGCCUGACGGAGCAACGCCGCGUGAGUGAUGAAGGUCUUCGGAUCGUAAAACUCUGUUAUUAGGGAAGAACAAAUGUGUAAGUAACUAUGCACGUCUUGACGGUACCUAAUCAGAAAGCCACGGCUAACUACGUG
rnacentral:rRNA from 1 species